UACGUAGGUGGCAAGCGUUGUCCGGAUUUAUUGGGUUUAAAGGGUGCGUAGGUGGUCCCAUAAGUCAGUGCUGAAAUAUCCCGGCUUAACCGGGAGGGUGGCAUUGAUACUGCGGGACUUGAGUAAAGUUGAGGUAGGCGGAAUUGACGGUGUAGCGGUGAAAUGCUUAGAUAUCGUCAAGAACACCGAUAGUGUAGACAGCUUACUAGACUUCAACUGACGCUGAGGUGCGAAAGCGUGGGGAGCAAACAGG
rnacentral:rRNA from 1 species